GAAAUCUGGCCCUCGGGUCCGAGGUGUAAUUUGUAGAGGAUGCUUUUGGUGCGGUGCCUUCCGAGUUCCCUGGAACGGGACGCCUUAGAGGGUGAGAGCCCGGUACGGUUGGACGCCUAGCCUCUGUAAAGCUCCUUCGACGAGUCGAGUAGUUUGGGAAUGCUGCUCUAAAUGGGAGGUAUAUUUCUUCUAAAGCUAAAUACUGGCCAGAGACCGAUAGCGCACAAGUAGAGUGAUCGAAAGAUGAAAAGCACUUUGAAAAGAGGGUUAAAUAGCACGUGAAAUUGUUGAAAGGGAAGCGUUUAUCACCAGACUUUUUCUAGGGGGAUCAUCCGGUGUUCUCACCGGUGCACUUCCCCUAGUUGAGGCCAGCAUCGGUUUUCGGAGGGGGAUAAAAGUUUCGGGAAUGUGACUCCCCCGGGAGUGUUAUAGCCCGUUACAUAAUACCCUUCUGGGGACCGAGGUUCGCGCAUCUGCAAGGAUGCUGGCAUAAUGGUGAUCAACGACCCGUCUUGAAACACGGACCAAGGAGUCGAACAUUUAUGCGAGUGUUUGGGUGUCAAACCCUCACGCGUAAUGAAAGUGAACGGAGGUGAGAGCCCUUACGGGUGCAUCAUCGACCGAUCCUGAUGUCUUCGGAUGGAUUUGAGUAAGAGCAUAACUGUUCGGACCCGAAAGAUGGUGAACUAUGCGUGGAUAGGGUGAAGCCAGGAGAAAUCCUGGUGGAGGCUCGCAGCGGUUCUGACGUGCAAAU
rnacentral:rRNA from 1 species